CGUAGGUGAACCUGCGGAGGG
rnacentral:rRNA from 1 species